rnacentral:rRNA from 1 species
GAUGAACGCUGGCGGCGUGCUUAACACAUGCAAGUCGAACGUGAAGCUUUAACUGAAUACUUCGGUAGGAUUUUAGGGUGGAAAGUGGCGAACGGGUGAGUAACACGUAGGUGACCUGCCUCGAAGUGGGGGACAACCAUUGGAAACGAUGGCUAAUACCGCAUGGUUCUGUUGGUUUGGGAAAGCCGAUAGAUAAAGCCUUCGGGCGCUUUGAGAGGGGCCUGCGGUCGAUUAGCUAGUUGGUGGGGUAAAGGCCUACCAAGGCGACGAUCGAUAGCUGGUCUGAGAGGACGAUCAGCCACAUGGGAACUGAGACACGGUCCCAACUCCUACGGGGGGCAGCAGUGAGGAAUAUUGCACAAUGGGGGAAACCCUGAUGCAGCAACGCCGCGUGGAGGAUGAAGGUUCUUGGAUUGUAAACUCCUUUUCUGAGGGAAGAGCAAGGACGGUACCUCAGGAAUAAGUCACGGCUAACUACG